GAUGAACGCUGGCGGCGUGCCUAAUACAUGCAAGUCGAGCGAACAGACGAGGAGCUUGCUCCUUCGACGUUAGCGGCGGACGGGUGAGUAACACGUAGGUAACCUACCUAUAAGACUGGGAUAACUUCGGGAAACCGGAGCUAAUACCGGAUAAUAUUUCGAACCGCAUGGUUCGAUAGUGAAAGAUGGCAUUGCUAUCACUUAUAGAUGGACCUGCGCCGUAUUAGCUAGUUGGUAAGGUAACGGCUUACCAAGGCAACGAUACGUAGCCGACCUGAGAGGUUGAUCGGCCACACUGGAACUAGGCCACGGUCCAGACUCCUACGGGAGGCAGCAGUAGGAAAUCUUCCGCAAUGGGCGAAAGCCUGACGGAGCACCGCCGCGUGGGUGAUGAAGGUUUUCGGAUCUUAAAACUCUGUUAUUAGGGAAGACCAAUCGUGUAAGUAACUGUGCACGUCUUGACGGUACCUAAUCAGAAAGCCACGGCUAACUACGUG
rnacentral:rRNA from 1 species